rnacentral:lncRNA from 1 species
GGGGAAGGCGCCUUCUGAAUGGCCUCUCCUCCGGCUUGCAGCGCCAGAGAGCGGCUGUCCACCAUCCGCGCCCGACUUUCAGAGCACCAAUAAAUGGUCCCUUUGAAGGUCCGAGUCUCCAGCGGUGGCAGGAAACUGCUCGCGCCCAUGAUUCCAACAGUAGUUACUUCUUGCAGACUGCGAUCUUUUGUGGAAGGAGGAUACCCGUCCAUUCUGCUCACCUCUCUGUAUUUCCACUGCCCUCGUCAUCUCUGUCUUGCACCAUCCCAGAGUUGACCAGCUGGUCUCCUGCUUCCGCUUGGCUCACCGACACUCUCUCCAAUCCAAAUUCUCUGCACCGUGGCCAGGUUGAUAAAGAAACCAAACCUAACCAACCAACAAAAAUAAACCUUAAACCAAGUUGUGCCGCUCAGUUCCUUACCUCCAGAGUCCUUAGAAUCAAAUCCACACUGUUGACCACAGACAAGAAGGCCCUGCAAGAUCUGGCCCUGCUGGUUUCGCAGACCUCAUGGGAACAACCCUCUCCCUCAUUGAUUCCCUUCCAGAACCUUCUUUCUGUAUCACAAACAGACCAACCUCUUUCCUGCCUUCGAGCCUUAAUGCAGGUUGUUCCUGCAAAUCAGGGGCCUUGCUCACUUAUUACCUUGUUUAUUUAUUUAAUUGUUUGUUGCAUCUCUUAUUCUUCCUCUCUCCCGUGAUGAAUUAUAAGUGCCCUGAAGGAGAGGAUAUUGUCUGGCCUGUUCAGUGUCCAAUUUCUGGCACCCACUACAGUCCCUGAGUCAUGGCAGAUUAAGUGUGUGUGUGUGUGUGUGUGUGUGGUUAUCGGAUGACGAAGUGACUCCUAAUUCCAUUAGCAGAACCGGGACGUACAGAGGGGAAGCCAAGUUUGGGGGAAAGUGGUGAUGCACCGUGUUAGCGGGCCGUCCAGGCAGGACGUCCAACGGACAGGUCAACAGGCGUCCUCCCAACUUUUGCAGCACGUCGCUGUUCCCCAAGGCCCUGACCCCGUACUGCUUUAUGUUGGAAUUAUAUAUAGGUUAAAAUGGCUUUCGUACAUUAGCCCCUUCAAACCUCUCUACAAUCUCGGGAGGGAGUAGAAUUAUUAUUCCCAUUUUACAGAUGAAAAGCGGAAGGUCAGAGAUUCUUGUCCAAGGCACACACAGCUGGAAGCAUCCAAGUCCAGAUUUGGACCUGAGUAUUUAAAUUCCCAGAUCGUUGUAUUUUAUUGGGCUUCUGGGAGUCAUACCCCACUUCUCCAUCCCCAUCGGUGAGCUAUAAGGGUCAUGGAUCAUAUUGCAAAGCGCUUCCAUUUUGAUGCUGAUCAGAGGGAGUGUUAGCCUGAUGGCCAGGGGAAUUCAGAACCCUCGUACGUGUGUAUGUACGUAUACAUGUAUGUGUGUGUGUAUAUAUAUAUAUAUAUAUAUAUUUUUUUUUUCCUCCCUAAGAUCUUAAAACCUUGAGAAAGGCAGAAGAACUAGGAAGAGAAAAAAAUAAAAGAGAGGAAACUAAAAGUCCUCAGAGGAAGGAAAUGGAAAGGAACAAAGGUAAAGUUAUAAUCUAAAAGGAGGCGAAGGAUAUUUUUGGAUUCUUCUUGUUGUUUGGCAAGGUUACAAACAAUAAGAAGCGGGUAAUGAGAUGAAUCAGGCACAUAGAGCAAAAGCAAGAAGGCUGAUAGUUGAUGAGAAAAAAAGAGGAGAAAACAGCCCCCAGGGCUGCGGGGAACAGGAGAGGCUGGCGGGAGGCGCUCUCUGAGAGCAGCAUGGGGAUGCUGUGGCCAAUUACAUGAUGCCCCCUGUCAGCCUGGCACGUGGUGGCUGUUUAGGAGAGAUGAAAGGAGGAAGAUGUUGGGCCCUCGACGUCAGUUUGCUGAUGGCAGAGAUGAAGAAGGGCAAGGAGAGGGGCUGGCCCCGUGGCCGAGUGGUUAAGUCCGCGCGCUCCGCUGCAGGCGGCCCAGUGUUUCGUUGGUUCGAAUCCUGGGCGCGGACAUGGCACUGCUCAUCAUACCACGCUGAGGCGGCGUCCCACACGCCACAACUGGAAGGACCCACAAUGAAGAAUAUACAACUAUGUACUGGGGGGCUUUGGGGAGAAAAAGGAAAAAAAUAAAAUCUUAAAAAAAAGAAAAAAAAGAAGGGCAAGGAGAGCUGCUCUAUGGAGUGUGGAGGUGGGGACAGCUUCUGAGUGGGUGGGGAUGUAGAUGCCAUGGAGUUCCAGUCUCAGCCUUGACGCUGAUUAGCUGUGUGACCUUGGCCGGGUUACUUAGCCUCUCUGAGCUUCAUUCGGCUCCACAUAAGUCCAAGCAUAGUACUAUGCACUUCAUAGGGUUGUUGUAGGAUUAAAUGAGAUGGUGUGUCAAAAUGCCAUCCUCAGUGCCUGGCCUCUGGCAGGCACUGAAUAGCCAUUGUUUUCCCCACUGAUCAAAGCAGUGGGUGGGGGCUCUGAUCACCCUAGGACCUGCAACUGAGUCGGAGUAGGAACCGUGACCUUCCGUUGCGUGGGGCACCAUCAGCUCCUCAGAAGGCAGUAAGCUGUUGGGAGCAGCUGCCUCCUCCCCGCUUGGAUGAGGCGGCUCCAUCUAGAUGGUGCGAUUGGGGUGGGUUUCGUCCGGG